GACGAACGCUGGCGGCGUGCUUAACACAUGCAAGUCGAACGAAGUGGCGAACGGGUGAGUAACGCGUAGUCAACCUGCCCUUCAGAGGGGGACAACAGUUGGAAACGACUGCUAAUACCGCAUACUGAAGGAGGGGAUUGCGUGUGAUUGGCUCGUUGGAGGGGUAACGGCCCACCAAGGCGAUGAUCAGUAGCCGGGCUGGGAGGGUGGACGGCCACAUUGGGACUUGGACACGGGCCAGACUCCUACGGGAGGCAGCAGUGGGGAAUCUUCCGCAAUGGACGUAAGUCUGACGGAACAACGCCGCGUGAGUGGUGACGGCCUUCGGGUUGGAAAGCUCUGUUAAGCGGGACGCGGUACCGGAAUAGAAAGCCACGGCUAACUACGUGCCAGCAGCCGCGGUAAUUC
rnacentral:rRNA from 1 species